GACGAACGCUGGCGGCGUGCCUAAUACAUGCAAGUCGAGCGCAUGACGAGGAGCUUGCUCCUCUGAUUGAGCGGCGGACGGGUGAGUAACACGUGGGCAACCUGCCCUGUAGACGGGGAUAACUUCGGGAAACCGGAGCUAAUACCGGAUAAUCCUCUUCCCCACAUGGGGAAGAGUUGAAAGGCGCUUUCGCGUCACUACAGGAUGGGCCCGCGGUGCAUUAGCUAGUUGGUGGGGUAACGGCCUACCAAGGCGACGAUGCAUAGCCGACCUGAGAGGGUGAUCGGCCACAUUGGGACUGAGACACGGCCCAAACUCCUACGGGAGGCAGCAGUAGGGAAUCUUCCACAAUGGACGAAAGUCUGGUGGAGCAACGCCGCGUGAGUGAUGAAGGUUUUCGGAUCGUAAAACUCUGUUGUAAGGGAAGAACCAGUACGUUAGGCAAUGGACGUACC
rnacentral:rRNA from 1 species